CUCUCCUACUGUUUAUUACUUGAAACUUGAAAGACACGUUUAAAAAAAGGGGAAAAUGAAAGGGGUUUGUAAAUUUGGAUCUAAACCUUAGUCCCCCUUUCUAUUAUUCUCUCUUAGUCCUACAGUCUCUCCCACUCCUCCUCGCUGCGACUUCGUCUUCAAGGUCUCAGUUCUCAAAUCGUAGCACUCUUUUCUAUCAAGCCAUGGCUCUGGAAUAAGAGUUGUGCUCUGGGAUCUUAGAGAUACAUUCCUGUUUCAUUUAUAUCGCGGCAAUGUUGAAAGCACUCGUUUGGAGAAUUUUCUUCCCGAUUUUGACACAAUUAUGACAACACUACCUUAAGGGAUUCGACCUCAAGAUUGCCUCAUAUGUUAGAUGUUCUUAAGCGAAGCACCUCAAUUCGCUGGAACAAGAAACAACAAAGUAGUUUUAAAUCGAUGAAGAAGAAAAUUCAAGGAGCAACAAAUGAAAUAAAAAAUGUUGCAAGUUUAUUGGGAUAUGAAGGGCUUGAAGUUGUUAAUCCAAAGGAACUUGAUAAUCUUCUAAAGGAAGAGUUUGAGGUUUAAUGAGGUCUGCAAUUGGCUUACAACAAGGUUGGGGCUCGAGGGAUAAUGCUAAAUAUAGCCAAGAUUAAGCAAUAAUAGUGAAAAGAGAGAAGACUGCAGACGUUACAAGUAGGUAGUAAACAAAAAGGAUUGUUAGGGUAUAUGGUAUACUUGGAUCUAGAGAUGUUUCACUACCUGGGUCUACCCUCUUAGAAAUAAGAGAUCAAUAGAGUUUCUUGGAAUUAAAGUUGCAAUUUUAGACUGGAUUAGCUUUUAUGUAGUACAACAUCAAUAUCAAUGUCCAUCGUCUUAGGUACUUCUUUUAUUUGUUUACUAUUGUACAUUGGGUUGAAUACUGGUGGUAUACAUUUCGGCUAAAUGUUAAGUGUAUUUUGAUUGAUGGGUCAAUUUUUGUAGUGAAUAUUCAACAUUUAUUUUAAUUUUAAUGUUAUAUUUUUUAGUUGUAUUUAAA